UCUGCAAAAUGCAGUUGGCUCUGGUGGUAGGUUUUGUGCUAUUAUGCCUUAUUAUACCAGAAAUUUCGAGCAGGCAGCGCAAGGAAAGGGGCGAUGUACUUGAAAUCGAA